rnacentral:tRNA from 1 species
ACCGCGUAGCUCAAUUGGAGAGAGCACUUGGGUUCGAGUGACUGGUAUUUUUGCCGUACUUUGAUCAGGUACCAAGCAACUCUACCAUGUCACGCCCGGGAGAUGCCGGUUCGAGUCCGGUCAUGCGGUU